CGUUAAAUUAUUUGCAAUAACUAGUUGCAUGCAAUAAAAGCGAAACAUAAAGAAAUACAUGUGUCUCUAAGGAAUAUAAUGGAUACUGCAUCAUCAAGUUUUGAGUUUGUGUUCCUUGCAAGAAAUAACAAACCUCCCUUCACAUACUUUCCUUUCUUUUCCCCACUCUUUAUCUCCACUCAAAUGAGCUCAUUCUUUUUGCCUCCAUAUAAAGCUAUGCUGCAAAAACACAACAACAGAGUUAGCUCAAUCUUUUAAGCCAUGGACAUCAAGCUUGAACAUGACAAAGAUGAGGAAAAGCUCCCUCUUCUGCGAAACACAGAGGUUCCAGAAGCAGAGAGGAACCUUGUUCAGCAAGCAAUUAGCCAAACAUUUGAGAGCACAGCACAUUUGGCAAACCUUCUUCCUACAGGCACCGUCCUCGCAUUCCAGCUUCUGUCUCCGAUAUUCACAAACCUUGGCAACUGCGACUCGACCGCGAAGACAAUGACUUCUUUCCUUGUAGCUAUCUGUGGCGUGUCCUGCUUCCUUCUAUGCUUCACUGAUAGCUUCAGAGACAGCAAGGGAAACAUCUGCUAUGGUUUUGCCACGGUUAGAGGCUUGUGGAUCAUUGAUGGAUCAACCACUCUUCCACCUGAAAUUGCUGCUAAGUAUAGCAUCAGGUUUAUAGACUUCAUGCAUGCAGUGAUGUCGGUUUUGGUGUUUGCGGCGGUUGCAUUGUUUGAUCAGAAUGUGGUGAAUUGCUUCUUUCCAGCACCAGAUAAUGAGACACAGGAAAUACUCACUGCAUUGCCGGUUGGAAUUGGUGUCUUCUGCAGCAUGUUCUUUCUUGUUUUUCCUACAAAGAGACAUGGAAUUGGCUUCCCACUUUCAACAAAUUAACUCUUGGUUCCAUAUUCGUGUGUGUAAACAAUGAGAUAAUCAUGUUUGGAACAAAUUAUCCGUGAAUUCAAGUUCAAAUUCUAUUUUCUUGUAAUAGGAAGGAAGGAAGGAACCCUUGGAAUUCCUUAAAUAUAUGGAUCAUAUUGUUAAUUUUGACCA